AACGAACGCUGGCGGCGUGGAUAAGACAUGCAAGUCGAACGGAAUUACUUUUUGUAGCAAUACAGAAGUAAUUCAGUGGCGAACGGGUGCGUAACACGUGGGCAAUCUGCCGAGAAGUGGGGGAUAGCUCGCCGAAAGGCGAAUUAAUACCGCAUGUGGUGAGGGAAGACAUCUUCCUGAAUCCAAAGCCGGGGUAACCUGGCGCUUUUUGAGGAGCCCGCGGCCUAUCAGCUGUUGGUGAGGUAACGGCUCACCAAGGCUUUGACGGGUAGCUGGUCUGAGAGGACGACCGGCCACACUGGGACUGAGACACGGCCCAGACUCCUACGGGAGGCAGCAGUGGGGAAUCUUGCGCAAUGGGCGAAAGCCUGACGCAACGACGCCGCGUGAGGAAUGACGGCCUCGGUUGUAACGU
rnacentral:rRNA from 1 species